ACCUGCCAAAAGAGAAAACAAUCUCGUCACAGAGCGAGGAAUGAACAAUACCAUGUCCAGUGCUGUUAUCAGUGGGCUUACUUAGUCCCUGCAGCAGCACAGCGGGAGACAGAAAAGUAUCUAGCCAAGUUAAAGGGGAUGCGGUCAUUUUUUCAUCUAGCUAAACCUGUUCAAGAACUUCAAACAGCGACUCGACUCUAACAUUGAACCUGAAAGACUGGAAGGAAGAAGAAUAUAAAAGUGGAAGUCUGCACACCCAAAAUAUACUCCACCUUUCUCUCUACAGCCAGUGGUUUGUCAUUGGGGUCACUUCCUUCAACAUUUCCCCCUUUCUCUUCUUUCUAAUCUCAGAGCCAGCACAUGGUGGGGAACAGGGGCUGAUCUCUAGCCUUUGACUGCCAAGACUGUGUAAGUGAGUCACCAAAUCGUUUUGCUAACAAUAGAAAGAAGAUAGUUGGUUUUAGAAAAGACUAUGUCCUCUUCCUCCCACAUCUGCCUCAAUUUCCUGACUACCCUGGAGGCUAAUUUUGGUAGUGGAAUUGUAUCCUCUAUACAAAUAGCAGCCUUGUUAUAAGUAUUCUACUCCUGUAACGGAAAUGACCACAGAGUAAUUGUUUCCUCCUUAAAUAUACUAAAGGAUUAAACUUAUUAUGAUUGUGUCAAAAAUUGCUACAUUUUGAGAUCUGAGUCAUUGAAAAUGAACUUCAUAUUAAUGCCUAACCCCAUGCCAGACCCUGAGGACCCUAGAUUUAAUUUCUAUUUCUCUUUCCUCUCCUAUCCUGAAGUGUGAUCAUAUCUCAUGUUUGCUGACUGCCUAACUUCACCCUUUAUCAUACAUGCUUGGGUUACAUGCUUAUGUUAUGGCAAUUUGGAAGCAGGUUUCCUUUUGUACCCCAAAAGAUGUCCUAGGGAAUCAGAUCUGAGUGGCAGCUGGUAUUAAUUAAUUUCAAUGGCCUCUGGUAACUUUGUCUGAACUCCUGGGAAAUCUAGAAGACAGGAGAAACCAAUCUCUUAUUGGCACCAGCAGUAGCCAGCACAGAUUAAAUUUGAUGUCUAACUUAUAAAAUAAUCAAUAUACACCUGCAGACGGUUUAAUGAGUCCUUUGGCUAAGCAAAGAAUCUGUUUAUUGUUCUGGGAUAAAUUGCUGUGUUUAUGACGUGAUCAGACUCUACAGUUAAUCUAGUUACAUUAUUACAAUAUAAUUACAAUAUAUAUGUCCUGUGACCCAUAGACAUGAACCAACUCUCCUGGACAUCAGAACUGUGGUUGGAACAAAGAAUCAGAUUUUAUUUUAAUACCUUGUCCUAAAUAUGUAGAGAAAAGAGUUGCUUCUCAGUGUUUUUUUACUGUAGCGGAGGCUGUAUCGCAUCCUAAGAUUUGGAAAUAUGUGGGGCUAUUCAUUGGACGUCACGACUUGAAAUGGAGGGACACGACUGAGGUUUACAGCCCAAUAUGCAACAAUGCUAAACACCCUUCUACACAAGGGCCACCAAAUGAAGAUUUGUCUGACCCCAAAUGCCAAUAAUGCCAACACAAAGAUGCCGCUUUCGAGGACCUUCAAGAUGAAAAAUAAAUGAAGAGCAGCUCUUCUUUUAUCUGUGAAUAUAAAUAACUUACAAAGUCAUCGCAAGGAUUUGGGGCAUUACCCGGAGCCCCCAAAGAGCCCCUCUCCUCCUCAUCUUUGCUGCAUGAAAUCUCCUGGAGCUCCAUUACACUCUGCAGAGCUAAUGGCAUGGCAUCCUGAAACCCAAGAACAAAGUUACAAAAAGGGCAAAGUUCUGAAGUCAGUAUAGUUAAGAAUAUCCCAAAUGUGCACUUCAUUAUUAUAAACCUCUGUUAACCACUGAGAGAUACGAAAGAAAAAAAAAAGUGAAAAAAAAAUCGGUUUAUGUGUAACAAUCUAUUUUCUUUUCUCCUUUAGUCACUUUCUCACGUUGCUCUGUAUGACACUCUCUUUUAUUAAGUGGAGUCUGUCUUAAAUUCUCUCACUGGCUAUUCUUCAGCAUUCAAUUCUUAUAGAUCCCCUAUGUUAAAAAUCACACUUGUUAGAUUUAUGUCUUCAGUUUUCCUUAAUUUAAUGCUCUCUUUAAGAGAAGAUGCUCAUACUUUUGUUGAAUCAGUUGGUGGAAAUAGACUUUUCUGUAGAUGUUCUCACGAGAUAUCUAUUCCUAUAUGUCAAGGAUAGGGUUCCCACUGCCCUCUGGCUGUUACAACAAUUUUUUUUCUUUUUCACGGAAGGCAGUGCUUUUGGACGAGAUUAGUAAACCCAAUUGUAAAAUCAGGCUUUGCAUCUGUUAAUAAAUAAGAAAAAAAUGUG